rnacentral:rRNA from 1 species
GGGUCAGUAGGUUGGUCGUGCCACCGGUACGUACUGGUCUCACUGAUUCCUCCUUCCUGAAGAACCGUAAUGCCAUUAAUUUGGCGUUGCGGGGAAACAGGACUGUUACUUUGAAAAAAUUAGAGUGUUUAAAGCAAGCUAACGCUUGAAUACAUUAGCAUGGAAUAAUGAAAUAGGACGAUCGAUCCUAUUUUGUUGGUUCCUAGGAUUGACGUA